rnacentral:rRNA from 1 species
UACGUAGGUGACAGGCGUUGUCCGGAUUUACUGGGCGUAAAGAGCGCGCAGGCGGUCGUUCAAGUCGAGUGUGAAAGCCCCCGGCUCAACUGGGGAGGGUCACGCGAUACUGAUCGACUCGAAGGCAGGAGAGGGUAGUGGAAUUCCCGGUGUAGUGGUGAAAUGCGUAGAUAUCGGGAGGAACACCAGUGGCGAAGGCGACUACCUGGCCUGUUCUUGACGCUGAGGCGCGAAAGCUAGGGGAGCAAACGGG